rnacentral:SRP_RNA from 1 species
UCUUUAGACCUGUGCAAUGGUGCCUUGAGGCAGCGUGUCAGGGUAGGAAUACAGCAGCACACCUUGAUGCAUCAUGUGCCGCAGGUAUCUGGAGAGGA